rnacentral:rRNA from 1 species
AUUGAACGCUGGCGGCAUGCCUUACACAUGCAAGUCGAACGGCAGCACGGGGGCAACCCUGGUGGCGAGUGGCGAACGGGUGAGUAAUGCAUCGGAACGUGCCCAGUAGUGGGGGAUAACUAGUCGAAAGAUUAGCUAAUACCGCAUACGACCUACGGGUGAAAGCGGGGGAUUCGCAAGAACCUCGCGCUAUCGGAGCGGCCGAUGUCUGAUUAGCUAGUUGGCGGGGAAAAGCCCACCAAGGCUUCGAUCAGUAGCUGGUCUGAGAGGACGACCAGCCACACUGGGACUGAGACACGGCCCAGACUCCUACGGGAGGCAGCAGUGGGGAAUUUUGGACAAUGGGCGCAAGCCUGAUCCAGCCAUGCCGCGUGCGGGAAGAAGG